AACGCGAAGAACCUUACCUGGGCUCGAAAUGUAGUGGACCGGAGUAGAAAUAUUCCUUCUCAGCAAUGGGCCGCUAUAUAGGUGCUGCAUGGCUGUCGUCAGCUCGUGUCGUGAGAUGUUGGGUUAAGUCCCGCAACGAGCGCAACCCUCGUCCUAUGUUGCCAGCGGGUAAUGCCGGGGACUCAUAGGAGACUGCCGGGGUCAACUCGGAGGAAGGUGGGGAUGACGUCAAGUCCUCAUGCCCCUUAUGUCUUGGGCUGCAAACAUGCUACAAUGGCCGGUACAAAGGGUUGCGAGACCGCAAGGUGGAGCGAAUCCCAAAAAGCCGGUCUCAGUUCGGAUUGGGGUCUGCAACUCGACCCCAUGAAGUCGGAGUCGCUAGUAAUCGCAGAUCAGCAACGCUGCGGUGAAUACGUUCCCGGGCCUUGUACACACCGAGUAUA
rnacentral:rRNA from 1 species